rnacentral:rRNA from 1 species
CUACGGGUGGCAGCAGUGAGGAAUAUUGCACAAUGGGGGGAACCCUGAUGCAGCAACGCCGCGUGGAGGAUGACGCAUUUCGGUGUGUAAACUCCUUUUAUAUGUCAAGAAAAUGACGGUAGCAUAUGAAUAAGCACCGGCUAACUCCGUGCCAGCAGCCGCGGUAAUACGGAGGGUGCAAGCGUUACUCGGAAUCACUGGGCGUAAAGGACGCGUAGGCGGGUUGGAAAGUCAGGUGUGAAAUCCUACAGCUUAACUGUAGAACUGCACUUGAAACUUCUAAUCUAGAGUAUGGGAGGGGGAGAUGGAAUUAGUGGUGUAGGGGUAAACUCCGUAGAUAUCACUAGGAAUCCCUAAAGCGAAGGCGAUCUCCUGGAACAUUACUGACGCUAAGGCGUGAAACCGUGGGGAGCAAACAGGAUUAGAUACCCCCGUAGUC